CUUGUUGUCAGUCCGCGCGCGUCGUUCUCAGAAUCUCUUGCUGGUCUCGAAUCGAAGGAUUGUGGAUUAAACACAUAAAUGUCCGCGAGUGUAGUACAUCUGAAGCUUGCUUCAAACUCGAACGGUCCUUGCAAUGAACAUAGAAGUAAUUACGUAUGUAGCAGUAUGCAUUUACGCUCCUUAUUAACACACGGCUGGAGGGCGAUUUAACGUUAGUGAUGGGGACUUUAAAUAUGGCUUGUGCACGUCAGCUGGGAAGGCAUCAUAUGUGACGUCAUGUCCUUGUUGUCAUUCCGGCUCGAUGGGCAAGUGCUAGAGAGUGGACGGGGAAAUUAACCGGUAUGCACUCGGCUGCGCUCCUGGUUGUGUAAAACUUCGGUGUGGGGAUGAAUUCCGCGAUGUGUUAAUACAGUGCUGUUGCAGGUGUCUUCCAUAUGCCUGUAUGACGUAAUGGUGGGUUGUUUGUUGCUGCGGUCAGCUGCUUGCGAGACGCUGGAAAUCGAGAUCCAGACCUAACAUAAACUUGCUGUUCCAACAUAAACUCGCUGUUAAAUUACAAAUUAAUGCUGUGACUGCUCUUUUUGGCUUGCGUUAAUAGAUACAGCAUUGACUGUGUUACGCAAGUUAGUCUGAACGGCUCCACGACGUCACCCGAACUCGAUAUCAGUAACGGUGGAUGGUGGAUGCUUUUCUUGUCUUGAGUUUGACGUUAAGUUACAUCUUUCGUAACGAACGCUGUUUGGCGGGACCUCUUGAUGCUCAUUGCUCCGUCACCACUGUUUAUUGUAGCUUUAUGAUUUAAGUUUUCAUGUAUGCUGGCUUUGUUUAUUUUUAGGUUAUGUGAAUGUCCAUUGGUGUUUUUUUGUUUUGGUAACUCAAGUGCAUCCCUCGUGGCCUCCAUACGAUGCACACAAGUACCUGGUCUGUAUGUGUUUGACUUGUUCCAGAGGUGUUCACUCACUUGAUUCUUACAGAAUACCUUGCAUAUUUGGUGAAUAUCGGUGGUGAUAUAAUGUUUGUCAUCAUACUAUGCUGAGAUGAACACUGUGCAUUUGGACCCAAAACUUGUGGUUGUGUAACUUUUUUUUAUUUUUAUUUUUUUUGUAUUCAUUGUGUAAAUUGUGUAUAAUUGUGGUGUCUGAGUUUUGUGUUUGUUCUUUAUUAUAGGCCUGGGCGACAAGGAAAAGAAGGGGCGGCAGCUCUCCUGGUCUUGGUGGUGGUGUCUUUGGAGUGCUUGCUGUGCCACACAGAGGUGUUUGACAGUGCAGUGUGAGUGCACGAGUGUGUGUGGUUUUCUUUGUUUUUCUUCUCAGGAGAAUAGAGAGGCCCUUAUGGGUUGAGUGUUUCCGGCUGUCGACCCCGAUUUCCGUCGUCCGGGCUGCUUAACGUCAAAUAUCCUUGUGACUGUCGCUUUUGUGAUUACUUGAACUAUUUUAAAUAAUAAAAUUGAUUUUAUUGUUUGUACACUUCACCCAUGUCUCAUGCCUGACUCC